rnacentral:rRNA from 1 species
GAUGAACGCUGGCGGCGUGCCUAACACAUGCAAGUCGAGCGAUUCUCUUCGGAGAAGAGCGGCGGACGGGUGAGUAACGCGUGGGUAACCUGCCCUGUACACACGGAUAACAUACCGAAAGGUAUGCUAAUACGAGAUAAUAUACUUUUAUCGCAUGAUAGAAGUAUCAAAGCUCCGGCGGUACAGGAUGGAUCCGCGUCUGAUUAGCUAGUUGGUAAGGUAACGGCUUACCAAGGCGACGAUCAGUAGCCGACCUGAGAGGGUGAUCGGCCACAUUGGAACUGAGACACGGUCCAAACUCCUACGGGAGGCAGCAGUGGGGAAUAUUGCACAAUGGGCGAAAGCCUGAUGCAGCAACGCCGCGUGAGCGAUGAAGGCCUUCGGGUCGUAAAGCUCUGUCCUCAAGGAAGAUAAUGACGGUACUUGAGGAGGAAGCCCCGGCUAACUACGUGCCAGCCGCCGCCGUAACAC